rnacentral:tRNA from 1 species
GCCUGGCUGGCUCAGUUGGUAGAGCACGUGAUUCUUAACCUUGGGGCUGUGAGUUCUAGUCCCACGUUGGGCA